rnacentral:tRNA from 1 species
GCAUCAUUGGUCCAGUGGUAGAAUUCAUCGUUGCCACUACUAUUUCCUGAUAUCCAGAUUCUGGAGUGUCGAUGAGACCCGUGUUCGAUUCACGGAUGAUGCA